UGACGUCGUACGAAACCUCACGGCGAUGCAACGGCAGAAAUCCUCUUUGAGUGUCCAUAUAAUUGCUAUCGCAAUAAAAGGUGGUGGGCCAGCAUCGGCAGCGACGCUUGCACUCGUUUUUCACCUGGCACUUUGUUGUGGCCUCAAGCAGCAACGGUGAACUGGGAGUCAGUCUUUUUUUUUCCCCUCUCAAUUAGAGUGUUGUGCUAAAUCACACAUCAAUGUGGUUAUAGCUUAUUAAUCAUGAGCUUGAGCAAAAUGAUCGACACUUUUGAGCAUGCACAAUCAGUCCACGCACUGUGCCCAAAAGACAGCAAGUGAGACAAUUUGAGUAGACAGUUGGGCUAGUUAGUGCUCAUUAGAGACUUGAGACGUGAUUAACUAGCGCGACAAGGACAUCGGACGACAGCAACAAGCGUUCUGUCCUGUCUGUCUUUUUUGCACUAGUUAAUGUCUCAAGUCUGUAACCAACGUGUGAUGUGAGCCCACAACGUCUAAAGUGACAUCAUGGCAUGAUCAGGAUGCUGACUUCAUGCUCCAAUGAUGGUGAGGCAUAAACGUCGCACCACUCGUGGGCGUCCGCUAGAGGCGUGACAAGUGCACUCUUCCGCUAUUCAGUUUCGGUCUUGGAAGUGAAAUUGUCCGGGAUUUAUUAAGAUUACAAAGUAGCAACAUCAUAUUUUUGGAUGUUUGACCGGUUCGGAUGACUGGCUUCAAACACUGCAUUAGGAACAAGCGCCUUGACUCCGUGCCAAGUGCACACUGUCUUGCCACGGUGUCAGUAACACCUUUGUCUGUAGAUGCCUAUGUGAGCGGUGCCAAUGCGUGCGACAAUGACCGAGAAUAUUACUGGCAGCAUUUUGGAAAGUCUGUAUGUGGUCUAUGCACAGCCAGCAGGCUUCUAUUUUUACAAUUUUGCUCAUCUAAAAUUUUUAGUUUGUAGGGCUUCCAAGUUAAGAGGGUUUACUUUUACUGUACUGUAUUUGGUAUUUAAUUCAAUAUUCCAAGAUUGCUUUUCUUUGAUGGUAUUUGUAUACAAUUCAAUUAAGACAUUUCGCAAUUCAAACACCCGUACUUUCAAGCACAGAAAAUGAAAUGCUAUAGGCUGCUGGUGUCUGAAUUAGAGUUAUGUAGACAGGCAAACCAAUGUUCUAGCUGCACCACCUUCAAUUGCUGCACCAUUGUACGACAACCUGACAGUGGCCCACGAACAGGUGCCGAUGAAGCAGCUAAAGUUCACAGCAGAGAUGCCUGCUAACAAAAUUAUGCAUGAACCUCCAGUUUGCUCACUUUUCUUUCAAAAGGCACAUGGCCCUCUUUCAAACUAACCGUUUCACUUUAGGAGUAACCUUGCUCUGCACCAAAAAAAAAGUUUGCCACAAGGAGAUAGUUUAGCAAUUAUAGGAGUCGUGCAUUUCUCUGACUCAAAAAUGAUGCACUGCUGCCUCUCUUGUGUAUUUAUUAACUAAAACUAAAUAGUUCACGUGGUGAAUUGGAUAUAUGAAAACCACUUAAACUUCUUGCUUUGCCAGGCAAAGUAUUUGGUCAAGUUCCAGUGUUAACGCUUUCAGAAAGCUUUGGCCAGAUAUGGCCAACCUCUUUUUCUUUUUGUCAGACUACAACAAUGUAAAAAGCACAAGCAAAAUGUAGUAACAAAUGAAUAUGAUACAGGCCUAAAAAAACUAUA
rnacentral:lncRNA from 1 species